rnacentral:rRNA from 1 species
CCAAAAUCUAGCCCAUAAAACCCCAUGACCUCCCAACCUUCCCUUUAUAACCAACAUUUUAACAUUUUAGGACGGGAAUCAAAAAUUACUAGGGCUUCAGAACUUCAACACUUAAAGCCACCGUCUGGUCAAAGAUGGAAAUUUCAAUAAGGGAAAACCUCCGACUUAGAAUACUGUUGUCAGGAAAGAGUUUACUUUCCUUAAGUAACUUAGCUAUCAACUAACCCUUACUUAAGAGUUAUCAAAUAAGCCCAGCUUAUUGAACCAGGCCCAACCUCUAACACCGGGUAACAAUGGUAGUCAAAUAAAGUGGCCUAAAAGCAGCCACCUUUCAAAAAGCGUCAUAGCUUAACUUUAUCCAACCAACAAUUACUUUAAACCCCACGAACCCUUAACCUCUACUGAACUAUUUUAUACUACUAUAAAAAAUAUUAUGCUAGAACUAGUAACAAGAAAAUACUUUUCUCCUAAAUGUAAGUAUAAACCAAAACGGACCCACCAUUGGUAAUUAACGUAAAUGCAACCAUUAUAGCAACACAUAACUAGAAAAUCCUAUAAUACAUCACGUUAACCUCACACCAGAACAUUACAGGAAAGAUUAAAAGAGAAAGAAGGAACUCGGCAAACCUUAGCCCCGCCUGUUUACCAAAAACAUCGCCUCUUGACACCCAUAAGAGGUCCAGCCUGCCCAGUGACACAAUUUAACGGCCGCGGUAUCCUAACCGUGCGAAGGUAGCAUAAUCACUUGUUCUCUAAAUAAGGACUAGUAUCAACGGCAUCACGAGGGCUAUACUGUCUCCUUUCUCCAAUCAGUGAAACUAAUCCCCCCGUGAAGAAGCGGGGAUUUGAAUAUAAGACGAGAAGACCCCAUGGAGCUUAAAGCACUAUAUUCACCACCUUUCUCUUACAACAACUUAAUUCUAAAACCUGAAUAUUAGCUUUUGGCUGGGGGGGCCGCGGAGUAAAACCCAACCUCCGCAACAAAUGGGCUACGCCCUUAUCUAAGAGUUACGACUCUAAGAAUCAACAAACUGAUGUACUUUGACCCGAAUAAUCGAUCAACGAACCAAGUUACCCUGGGGAUAACAGCGCUAUCUACUUCAAGAGCUCAUAUCGACAAGUAGGUUUACGACCUCGAUGUUGGAUCAGGGUAUCCCAGUGGUGCAGCCACUACUAACGGUUCGUUUGUCAACGAUAAACCCCACGAU